UGACCUCGGAUCAGGUAGGAAUACCCGCUGAACUUAAGCAUAUCU
rnacentral:rRNA from 1 species